rnacentral:lncRNA from 1 species
AUUUUUCAAAUUGUCCCUUUGACACUCGAGAGCAUUUUAACUAUUGAAUAAUGCAACAUAACAAAUAGUGAUAUGUGAANUUUUUUUUUUUUUUUUUUUUUUUUGGUCAGUUGGGAGGAGCUAAGUUGUAAGGAGUUUUUGAGCAGGGAACCUGGCUGGUGUCCAAUAUGCUGCCUUUAUCACUUACAGGAGCAUUCUGAAAUAGGACAAGUUUAGAAAAGAACACAUAUAAGGAAAAUAGAUCUGGAAAUUGAUUCUUUUAAGAUGAUUCAUGCAUCCUACUCCUUGGAGAUGCACUGUGUACUCCUGAGGGUUUGAAGACCACUAUACUGCACUAGACUAAUAAGUGAGUGGGUGAUCUACAAAGAAUCCAGCCCAACCCCACUAGUGGAGCCUAGAAAAAACAGCCACUUAGUGCAUGACUGCUGUCUACUAAGAAUUCUGCACACAUGAUCUUGUUUAAUUGUCAGAACAACUCUGCAAGGUAGGAUUAUGUUCAAUAUGCAGGGAGAGAGUAAUUUGUCCAGAUCACAGAAAUUAUAAGUGGCUGAGCAAAAAUUUGAACUCAUUCUAUCCCCUCCUUUUUCCUUAAUUUUUUAUUAGGCUCAUGUCAAACUAGAAGCAAUGUAAUUCAAUUCAAAUAAUUCUUGUUUGACUUUUUCCCAACUUUCACAAUACUAUUACUUUGUCUUCUUCUUAAUUCACAGGGACAGCAAAGAGCUUAACCUAAAUGUGUCUGUAAUGAGUGAACUUUGAGGAGGAGAAUUUUUUGAAUAGAGAAGAUGUCUUGUAUUCACCAUCUACCUCUGGCCAUGAAUCACUCCCUAGACAAUUUCAGGAGGAUUGGAUUUUUCCCUCAGGAGAGAGUUUUGUAGAGGGAUGUGUGUAAGGAUUCUAUGAUUUUUCUUUUCUUUUUGUGAAAACUGUUCUGCUGCCACUGUGUAUAAAGCACAUCCAUUCCUGCGGGUAAGUUUAUCACACUUUUCAGUUUGAUUUUCUUCAGGGCACUAACUGACAUUUGAAAUCUUCAUAUUUAUACAUUUAUCAACUUGAUUUUUUGUUUGUGUUUCCAAUUAAUAUGUACAUACCAUGAAAUCAAUACACAUGUCAGUCUUCUUCAGGCAUAGAUAAAUCAAGAACAGAUAGAUAUAAAACAGAAACAAUAAUAAUGACAACAAUAACAAAAGCAUUACAUAUCCUAGAAAUAAAAUACCCUAGUACUACUUUCUGAUUCA